AGCUCCAAUAGCGUAUAUUAAAGUUGUUGCAGUUAAAAAGCUCGUAGUUGGAUUUCUGGCGGGAGUGAUCGGUCCGGCUCUCAGAGUUGGUACUCGUAUCCUCUCCUGCCAUCUUUCAGGAGAAUUUUGGUGGCAUUAAGUUGUCGCUUAAAGGAUCCUGAUCUUUUACUGUGAAAAAAUUAGAGUGUUCAAAGCAGGCUUAUGCCGUUGAAUAUACUAGCAUGGAAUAAUAAGAUAGGACUAUGGUACUAUUUUGUUGGUUUGUGCACCAUGGUAAUGAUUAAUAGGGACAGUUGGGGGUAUUGGUAUUGCUUUGUCAGAGGUGAAAUUCUUGGAUUUCAGCAAGACCAACUACUGCGAAAGCAUUUACCAAGGAUGUUU
rnacentral:rRNA from 1 species